UUGUGGCUCAGCGGUAGAGCGCUCACUUAGCAUGUGUGAGGCCUGGGUUCGAUCCUCAACAA
rnacentral:tRNA from 1 species